rnacentral:rRNA from 1 species
CAGCCCGCGGUAAUACGUAGGUGGCAAGCGUUGUCCGGAAUUAUUGGGCGUAAAGGGCUCGCAGGCGGUUUCUUAAGUCUGAUGUGAAAGCCCCCGGCUCAACCGGGGGGGGUCAUUGGAAACUGGGAAACUUGAGUGCAGAAGAGGAGAGUGGAAUUCCACGUGUAGCGGUGAAAUGCGUAGAGAUGUGGAGGAACACCAGUGGCGAAGGCGACUCUCUGGUCUGUAACUGACGCUGAGGAGCGAAAGCGUGGGGGAGCGAACAGGAUUAGAUACCCCAGUAGUCCCUGUCUCUUAUACA